AUAGCCAACCAUGAAUCUUCAAUCUCUUUGAGUCUGCUUGGUGAUAUCGAUUCUGGGAUAAUGGACGUUGAUCUAAUUCAGGUCAUUGGGACCACAGCCAUAUUAAUUAAGUUAUUUGGAAUACGUGCUGCCUUCAAGUUUUCAACUGAAGGGUGUAGUAUUAAUUGUAUCCCUAAGGCGAAUUGGAUAUAUUUAUAUAUUGUUUUAAAUUGUUUGCCUAAGAUCUGUUAGCCUCGGUAGUUCAGUGACCCUAUCCCUUUGUCGUGGAUUAGACGAUAGAUUUUGUCUAUUGUUAUCCUUUCUCAAGGAAUGGUAGGGUAAAACUACCUUGGCCAAAAAAGUAAAACAAAAAGGCGUUGCGUCCUUGUGGGAAGAUUAUUCAAGGAACAGGAAGUUUGGUCGUGUUUGCUGUCUUUGAAAAAUGAGGAAGCGCAUUCAAGACCAAAAAGGCUCGUUUUUCCUUUACUGGUAAGCCUCUAAAUCCCCUGUGGCAAGGUCAAAGCUCUUUCUACUUCAGCUUCUCAUCAGCACACGUAAUGGAACUUCAAUGUACAGAAACGAAGGUGUUUUACUGCUAAUUAUUUGUCUAUUUAAUUUUUGUCUAUUUAAUUUUAAUCAGCAAGGACGUUGCACGCUAAGACUUCAUACCCGUAUGCUAAUUAAUCCCUAAGUAUUAAUGAUGCAUCAACUUGGAUUGAAAUGCAGCAUAAUCUCCGGGAGAAACCUUAUCUUCAAUAGAAAACAAGUUGUUUUCCCGAAAAAAACAAAAAAAACAAUAUGCCUUGUGUUUUGUUUACGUCCACCUAUCGUAGCCGGGAGGUAGAAUAAAGAAUCAGUGGCCACUC